UUUUACUGGUAAUUCUAGAGCUAAUACAUGAGCAAAAUCUCAACUUUAUUAGACGAGACGCAUUUAUUAGAUAAAAAGCCAAUGCAUGCUUUAACAGUAUGGAAGUUGGUGAUUUAUAAUAACUUAGCAAAUCGCAGAGUGUAAAAAGGCGAUAAAUCAUUCAAGUUUCUGACCUAUCAGCUUUCGACGGUAUGGUAUUGGCUUACCGUGGCAGUGACGGUUAACGGGGGAUUAGGGUUCGAUUCCGGAGAGGGAGCCUGAGAAACGGCUACCACAUCUAAGGAAGGCAGCAGGCGCGCAAAUUACCCAAUUCUAACAGUUUGAGAGAGGUAGUAACAAGAAAUAACAAUACAAGGCAAUUAAAAUGCUUUGUAAUUGGAAUGAUAGAAAUUUAAACCCUUUUUAAAGUAUCAAUUGGAGGGCAAGUCUGGUGCCAGCAGCCGCGGUAAUUCCAGCUCCAAUAGCGUAUAUUAAAAUUGUUGCAGUUAAAAAGCUCGUAGUUGAAGUUCUGCUAAAAGUAGCCGGUCUGCUUUUUAUAAAAGUGGUAUCUUGGUGUGUUUUUAGCAAUGAUGUCCUUUGAAAUGUUUUU
rnacentral:rRNA from 1 species